GGACUUGCUCCUGANUUACGGCGGANGGGUGAGUACACGUGGGCACCUGCCUAUAAGACUGGGAUAACUUCGGGAAACCGGAGCUAAUACCGGAUACGUUCUUUUCUCGCAUGAGAGAAGAUGGAAAGACGGUUUACGCUGUCACUUAUAGAUGGGCCCGCGGCGCAUUAGCUAGUUGGUGAGGUAAUGGCUCACCAAGGCGACGAUGCGUAGCCGACCUGAGAGGGUGAUCGGCCACACUGGGACUGAGACACGGCCCAGACUCCUACGGGAGGCAGCAGUAGGGAAUCUUCCGCAAUGGACGAAAGUCUGACGGAGCAACGCCGCGUGAACGAAGAAGGCCUUCGGGUCGUAAAGUUCUGUUGUUAGGGAAGAACAAGUACCAGAGUAACUGCUGGUACCUUGACGGUACCUAACCAGAAAGCCACGGCUAACUACGUGCCAGCA
rnacentral:rRNA from 2 species